rnacentral:rRNA from 1 species
AUGGCGGCAUCGGUAGCCUGCGCCUUCUUCUUCGACGCCGAGCCGGUGGGCGAGCCCGGCAUGCUGGCGCUGGACGCGUGCGCGCUCUGCGCCAAGCCGCUGGCGCGCGACAGCGAUGUCUUCAUGUACAGGGGGGACACGCCCUACUGCAGCAAGGAGUGCCGGCACGAACAGAUGCAGCUCGACGCCGUCUCCGCCAGGCAGGCCGCCCGGAGGCUGCAGCGGUUCUCGGCGGGAGCAGAGUCCGGGCGUGCACACCAGGGGGUCUCCGUCUCGAGCUAA